rnacentral:rRNA from 1 species
AACGAACGCUGGCGGCAGGCCUAACACAUGCAAGUCGAACGCCCCGCAAGGGGAGUGGCAGACGGGUGAGUAACGCGUGGGAACCUUCCCAAAGGUGCGGAAUAGCUCAGGCAAACUUGGGGUAAUACCGCAUAAUGCCGAGAGGCCAAAGAUUUAUCGCCUUUGGAUGGGCCCGCGUCGGAUUAGCUAGUUGGUGAGGUAACGGCUCACCAAGGCGACGAUCCGUAGCUGGUUUGAGAGAGUGACCAGCCACACUGGGACUGAGACACGGCCCAGACUCCUACGGGAGGCAGCAGUGGGGAAUCUUGGACAAUGGGCGCAAGCCUGAUCCAGCCAUGCCGCGUGAGUGACGAAGGCCUUAGGGUUGUAAAGCUCUUUUGCCGGGGACGAUAAUGACGGUACCCGGAGAAUAAGUCCCGGCUAACUUCGUGCCAGCAGCCGCAGUAA